GUGAAAGCGUUGACCAAGAGUAAGUACACAAUAAAAACUGAUUUUAGAAAGUUGGUGUUUGAUGCAAACCAAUACAGUUUUAUUGUUGGAAUGGACUUGUGAGUAGAAACAGAAUUUCUUAUUAGAAUAGUAUGUAACUCGGUAUUCUCCCGUUAUAGAGAAUGUUGUAUUUUCUGUACAACAAUAAGAGGGUUAUAGAUAUAACCAAUAGAGGUGGCACCGCAUAAAAAUAUUAUGUCCUCUGU
rnacentral:ncRNA from 1 species